AUGUUUUUGGUGACAGAAAUGAAAGCUAACAUGCCUGAAGAAAUUAAUCAACUGCCUAAUGAUUAAAAAUAGUUGAUUACACGAGAAAAUUAAUAUAAAGAAGAUAAAGUAGAAAAAAUACAGGAAAUCUAUCACAUCCAGUUCUCUUUACUAUGUAUUCUUUUGAAUGUAGCUAAUUGGUGGGAUUUAUGGAUAUUGAGAUGAAAAAAACUUGGACAUCCGUUACUUUUUUUGCUUUGUUUAUCUUCAGAUGGAGAUGAUCUGGCAUGAUUCACCCAAUAGCUCUGGUCCAUCUAAUAUGAAGAAAAGAUCAGAUUCUGUGAAAUGGCCAGAGUGGAAGUAACUCGCCUUUGUUUGCUCACUGGUAGCUUGAUGCUGAUAACGGAAGGAUGAAUGUUCUCCAUGGAUCAGAUGAACAGCCUUACACAUCCAGGAGAUCCGAAUGGAGCAGCAUUAUUUUAUGGUAACCUUUGCACCCAGCUCUAAAAUGCUAAAUUAAAUGAGUAGAAAGGAGAUUGAAUUUUUCAUGAAAAUUGCGGUCGAGUCGAUCACGUACCACAAAUAGACACAGCAUAGACUUCGUAAAGUUUAUGUCAAAUUAGAGUGCUGUUACAUAACUGUUGCAGUUGCAAGGUUCUAGGCUGUUCUUUGAUAUAAAGUGCUGGUGAAAUUAUUUGUUGUGUAACCCUCAUAUUCUAUGUGUAAACUAUGUAGAAAUAAACACUGAUAUAUCAAUUUUCUCUCUUUUUUUUAUUUUUA